CUAGCUCAACGGUAGCCAAACCGUUAGCUAGCUUACCCCGGUGAAAGCAGUCAAAACGGUUUCUGUUAGGUAGAAGGAAAAACUUUAUUUCAACGCCUAUGUCUGGAUUAACUUUCAGUGAAAAAUGGAGUUAAUUUGCCAAAGAAAGCGGACGUGUUUUGGAUGAAGGAGUUUCAUUUGGAGCACUAAAGAGGCGGUUCAACUCCAGGAAUUAGACGGCACCACAGGUGGACGUCGUUUUAAAGUUUCAUCAAAAAACUGCAGAAAGCCACUUGGGAAGGGCCAAAGGGAGCCACAUGUGACUCCGGAGCUGCAGGUUGCCCGCCCCUGCUCCAGCUCAUGGUGAUAUCUGAAUGCAGAAGGAGGCGCCAGCACUCACGCCAACCACUGAGGACCCUACACCAGCUAGCAGCGCUAACGUUAGCCUGUUAGCUUCAAAAAGGUGCCGACAGGUGUGGCUGCUAGCAUGACGGACUUUGGCUAACAGCUUGUUUACCUCACUGUGGCAGUGAGGCACCCUGGAGACGCUUUAUGUCACCCAUCAAUCAACUCCAAACAGG